AGAGUUUGAUCCUGGCUCAGAUUGAACGCUGGCGGCAUGCUUUACACAUGCAAGUCGAACGGCAGCACGGGCUUCGGCCUGGUGGCGAGUGGCGAACGGGUGAGUAAUGCAUCGGAACGUGCCCAUGUCGUGGGGGAUAACGUAGCGAAAGCUACGCUAAUACCGCAUACGCCCUGAGGGGGAAAGCGGGGGAUUCUUCGGAACCUCGUGCGAUUGGAGCGGCCGAUGUCGGAUUAGCUAGUUGGUGGGGUAAAGGCCCACCAAGGCGACGAUCCGUAGCGGGUCUGAGAGGAUGAUCCGCCACACUGGGACUGAGACACGGCCCAGACUCCUACGGGAGGCAGCAGUGGGGAAUUUUGGACAAUGGGGGCAACCCUGAUCCAGCCAUGCCGCGUGAGUGAAGAAGGCCUUCGGGUUGUAAAGCUCUUUCGGCCGGGAAGAAAUCGUGGUCUCUAACAUAGGCCAUGGAUGACGGUACCGGACUAAGAAGCACCGGCUAACUACGUGCCAGCAGCCGCGGUAAUACGUAGGGUGCGAGCGUUAAUCGGAAUUACUGGGCGUAAAGCGUGCGCAGGCGGUUUUGUAAGACAGAUGUGAAAUCCCCGGGCUCAACCUGGGAACUGCGUUUGUGACUGCAAGGCUAGAGUACGGCAGAGGGGGGUGGAAUUCCACGUGUAGCAGUGAA
rnacentral:rRNA from 1 species